rnacentral:snoRNA from 1 species
GCAUGGGUUUGGAUUUGUGGCAGGCCUGUCUCCCCAGGCUUCUCAUAGUGUUCCAUGCCAAACCAAACUGGGGCCCCAAACCAUUGGCUGGCCUCUGUGCCUGAGUGGAUUGUACAGUG